UUACGGCCAUAUCACGUUGAAACACCGGUUCCCGUACGAUCACCGAAGUUGAGCAACGUCAUUACCUAGAAUGGUGACCGCUUGGGAAUACCAGGUGCUGUAAG